CAUAACAGAAUUAUUUAUGGUAUGGUAAUGCGUGAUAGCAGAACAGCGCAACAAAAAAUCAUCGCUCUGCCACAAAUACAUCAAAAAAUUGUAUCUUCAAAAGGUAAAACUACGAUUUGAAUUGAACUUCUGCAUUAAGUGUGUGUCAUAUGUGCAAUUUCACCACCUGCCUGAGCCAGCUGCCAUGCCAGGAUUUUGGAGUUAUAGCUUUAAUUAUGUUUAGUUUUUUCGUGUCAGUAUACUAUGAAUAUCUGUUCGAAUGGAAAUUUUAAACUAUAUUGGAUCAAAAGAAAAAAAAGUUCUCUCGGCCGGAGAUUUCAUCAGAUUAACCUCGGAAUAAUCCAUGUUUUUAUUCUAUCGUUGGCGACAAGAAAACAAAAACCAACAUCGGGGAAAUAUCGCAGUCGGCUUCCGGAUUCUCCAAGAUUGCUGUCCUGCCUCGCAUUAAGGGCGCUCCAAACAAAUGCGACGCG